UACAUCUUGUAUUGAGACCAGAAUAAAUGGUGCAUGAGAAUCGGAUCGAUAUCUAAAUGCAGGCAUCAGUGCUUUUUGUUCAUGGCCACACAAGAAUUAGUUCACUGAAAGAAGUGUGCAUAUAGAGAAUGAUGUUUUCAAUGCAUCUGAUUCUUAUUUUGUUGACCAUAUGUUUAAUGCCACAAAUGAACUUUUCAUAUGAGCUUCAAGAUACAAUUCACACUAUGAGAGAGGAUAACGCGUACCUACAUCACAGACUGAAAAACCUCACGCAGACACUGCGAGAGCUGGGAAAACUUCUGGAUCACUCACAUGAGUCUGCUGUGAAUCAUGAUAGUGACAAGUUGCAUGCCUGGAAUGAGUGGAUUAAGAAUGGUAUCAGCACAGACACUCAUCUCAUGUUAGAACAAGCUUUCUGCCUGCCAGAUCUUCAUGCCAAUGCUAAUUUAUAUUUCCUAGAACAAAUUCUUCUUGUUGUGCCAGGUCUCAUUUGGAUUGGGAUCCUUCUCAUGUAAAUAUGGUCAUAAUAUUCUAAUCUA